GUACAGUGGUUAGAACUCUUGACUGCUAACCAAGAGGUUGGUGGUUCAAACCCACC
rnacentral:tRNA from 1 species